rfam:Daphnia pulex DAPPTscaffold_105_Cont4567, whole genome shotgun sequence.
GGCUCAUUGGUCUAGUAGUAUGAUACUUGCUUCGGGUAUAAGUGAUCCCGGGUUCAAUUCCCGGAUGGGCCC